rnacentral:snRNA from 1 species
AUGCUCACUCUGGCAGCACAUAUACUAAAACUGGAACAAUACAGAGAAGAUUAGCAUGGCCCCUGAUCAAGAAUGAAUUAUCAAGCCCUCUUCUCU